rnacentral:lncRNA from 1 species
CAAACUCUCUGUCCCCAAACUCUCUGUCCCCAAAGUCCCUUAGGGUUGGGACCUGGAUGUCCCCAACCUCCUCAUCCCAAACAUCUCCUGGGGUUGGGAUGUCCCCAUUGUCCUUGUCCCCAAAGGCCUUAGGGGGUGGGACAUCCUUGUCCCCAGCAUCCUUGUCCCCAAAGCCGAUAGGGGAUGGGACAUUCAUGUCCCUAAAGUCCUUGUCCCCAAAGGCCUUAGGGGGUGGGAUGUCCUUGUCCCCAACGUCCUUGUCCCCAAAGGCCUUAGGGGAUGGGACGUCCUUGUCCCCAAAGCCCAUGGGGGAUGGGACAUCCUUGUCCCCAAAGUCCUUGUCCCCAAAGCCCAGAGGGGAUGGGACGUCCUUGUCCCCAAAGCCCAUGGGGGAUGGGACAUCCUUGUCCCCAACAUCCUUGUCCCCAAAGUCCUUAGGGGAUGGAACACCCUUGUCCCCAAAGUCCUUG